rnacentral:tRNA from 1 species
GGUGCAGUGGCUUAUUGAUUAAAUCACUUGUCUUGUAAACAGGAAAUCCUGGGUUCAAAUCCCAGCAGUGUCU